CAGUCGCCGCGGGAACACGGAGGAUCCAAGCGUUAUCCGGAAUCAUUGGGUUUAAAGGGUCCGUAGGCGGUCUUGUAAGUCAGUGGUGAAAGCCCAUCGCUCAACGGUGGAACGGCCAUUGAUACUGCAGGACUUGAAUUAUUGGGAAGUAACUAGAAUAUGUAGUGUAGCGGUGAAAUGCUUAGAGAUUACAUGGAAUACCAAUUGCGAAGGCAGGUUACUACCAAUUGAUUGACGCUGAUGGACGAAAGCGUGGGUAGCGAACAGGAUUAGAUACCCCAGUAGUCCCUGUCUCUUAUAA
rnacentral:rRNA from 1 species